rnacentral:rRNA from 1 species
AGCUCCAAUAGCGUAUAUUAAUGUUGUUGCAGUUAAAAAGCUCGUAGUUGGAUCUCGGGGCGUGGAGGCGUCGGUCCGCCGUGAAGGUGUGCACUGGCCCGCCCGCUCUUUCCUUGGGGACGUUCGCCGCGGCCAUUAGUUUGGCUGCGGUAUUCCGGCCUCGGCCGGUUUCUGGCGCUUCGGCGCCUGGAAUGCCCCAUCGUUUACCUUGAAUAAAUUAGAGUGUUCCAAGCAGGCAUGUUCGCCGUGAAUACAUUAGCAUGGGAUAAUGGAAUAGGACUUUGGUGCUAUUUCGUUGGUUUUCAGAACCAGAGUAAUGAUUAAUAGGGACAGUUGGGGGCAUUCGUAUUUAAUUGUCAGAGGUGAAAUUCUUGGAUUUAUGAAAGACGAACUUGGGCGA